rnacentral:rRNA from 1 species
UGGGACUGAGACACGGCCCAGACCUCUACGGAGGGCAGCAGUGAGGAAUCUUGCGCAAUGGGCGAAAGCCUGACGCAGCCACGCCGCGUGUCGGAAGACGGCCCUAUGGGUUGUAAACGACUUUUAUCAGGGAAGAACGAGGGGGUUUUGAUCUCCUGUGACGGUACCUGAUGAAUAAGCACCGGCUAACUCCGUGCCAG